CGGGUAGAGUAAUGCGUGACCAACCCUGCCCCAUGCUCCAGAAUAGCUACUUGGAAAACGGGUGGUAAUGCUGGAUGCUCAACUUGACGCAUGUCUUGUUGGGAAAGUGUUUAGUGGCAUGGGAUGGGGUCGCGUCCUAUCAGCUUGUAGGCGGGGUAAUGGCCCACCUAGGCUUCGACGGGUAGCCGGCCUGAGAGGGCGGACGGCCACAUUGGGACUGAGAUACGGCCCAGACUCCUACGGGAGGCAGCAGAC
rnacentral:rRNA from 1 species